GGUUUUAGUUCUGGCUCAGAUUGAACGCUGGCGGGAUGCUUUACACAUGCAAGUCAGACAGCAACACGGACUUCGGUCUGGUGGCGAGAAGUGGCGAACAGAGUGGUAAUGUAUCAGGGCGUGCCCUAGUAGCGGGGAUAACUACGCGAAAGCGCGUAGCUAAUACAUACGCUUCGCUAAAGGGGAAAAGCAGAGGCCCAGCAGGCCUCGCACUAUUAGAGCAGCCGAUAUCGGAUUAGCUAGUUGGUGGGGUAACGGCUCACCAGGCGACGAUCCGUAGCUGGUUUGAGAGACGACCAACCACACUACCGGACUGAGACACGGCCCAGACUCCUACGAGGGAGGCAGCAGUGGGAAUUUGGACAAUGGGGGAAACCUGAUCCAGCCAUCCCGCGUGUGCGAUGAAGGCCUUCGGGUUGUAAAGCACUUUUAGCGGAAAGAAACGGCACGGGAUAAUACCCCGUGCAACUGACUAGUACAGAAUAAGCACCGGCUAACCGUGCCGGCAACCGCGGUAAUACGUAGAUUGCAAAGCGUUAAUCAAGGAAUUACUAUGAUAAAGCGUGCGCAGGCGGUUCGGAAGAAGAUGUACGAUCCCAGAGCUUAACUUUGGAACUGCAUUUUUAACUACCGAGCUAAGAGUGUGUCAGAGGGAGGUGGGAAUUCCGCGAUGUGGCAGUGAAAUGCGUGUUCUGCGGAGGAACACCGAUGGCGAAGGCAGCCUCCUGGGGAUAACGCUGACGCUUCGCUUUUAGCGAAAGCGUGGGGGGCAAACGGGAUUAGAUACCCUGGUAGUCCACGCCCUAAACGAUGUCAACUAGCUGUUGGGGCCUUCGAACGCAGCGGUAGCGCAACUAACGCGUGAAGUUGACCGCCUGGGGAGUACGGUCGCAAGAUUAAAACUCAAAGGAAUUGACGGGGACCCGCACAAGCGGUGGAUGAUGUGGAUUAAUUCGAUGCAACGCGAAAAACCUUACCUACCCUUGACCUUCUGGAAUCCCGAAGAGAUUUGGGGAGUGCUCGCAAGAGAACCGGAACACAGGUGCUGCAUGGCUGUGUCAGCUCGUGUCGUGAGAUGUUGGGUUAAGUCCGCAACGAGCGCAACCCUUGUCAUUAGUUGCUACGAGGGCACUCUAAUGAGACUGCCGGUGACAAACCGGAGGAAGGUGAGACGAAACGUCGAAGUCCUCAUGGCCUAUGGGUGGGCCACACGUCAUACAAUGGUCGGGACAGAGGGUCGCCAGCCCGCGAGGGGAGCCAAUCCAGAAACCCGAUCGUAGUCCGGAUCACCGAUGCCACAACUCGACUGCGUGAAGUCAGAAUCUUUAGUAAUCUUUAUACUGGAUCAGCAUGUCGCGGUGAACGUUCCCACGGGUCUUGUACACACCGCCCGUCACACCAUGGGAGUGGGUUUGCAAGAAGUAGUUAGCCUAACCGUAAGGAGGGCGAUUACCACGGUAGGAUUCAUGACUGGGGUGAAGUCGUAACCGAU
rnacentral:rRNA from 1 species